rnacentral:lncRNA from 1 species
GAUUAUCGGUUUAGUUUUAUCCCUACUAUUCUGUUGUUAUAGCUUAGUCAGUUUAUAUGGUUCAGUAUUUUUAUUACAUUGGAAUAUGUGGACUUUCAUGAAUGUAAUAAAAGAAUUUCUGGAUUUGGUAAAAUAAAAGGUUUUCUACCCCUCGUGGUAGCUUUUAUAAAAGAUAAAAGUUUUCGCGUAUGGAACAGUUUUUAAAAGGUUUUUCGUGGAGUUUUGUUUAAACAUCGAAUGUAAAACUACGGUGUGAAUGGUAAAUGUAUGAAUGUAUAGCUAUCUGUAUAUUCAUUUAGUUGUGGUUGUAUACUGUUUGUAUUUUUGUACUUGUGCGACGCCGUGCAAAUACAGGGGAGACUCUGUCCGUGUGAACAGUGGAUUCCCUGUAUUUGUGGCGGAUUUGACAUACUCUGGGGUCAGGUGUUUCAAAAAAAAAAAUUUUAGUCGUUUCCGCUGUUUUUCCAAACUAA